GAUCCAAUUCGUAGGAGAACGGAAUUAUAAGUCCAAAACUGGAAAACAAAUAUCUCUUCGUUGAAUAUCAAUGAUCGAUAGCUGAAAAGUUGUACUUAUUCGAAAAUUAUAAAUCUUAACCCGCACCCGCACCGCACCCGCAAAAUACUGAAUUUGUUGUUAUGUUGACCCGCCCGUCCCGCAUAUGUUUAAACCCGCACCGCCCCGCACUCGCACCACCCCAUUGCCAUCCCUAUGUAUGGUAGAUUUAUUAUACCUAAGAAGAAAAGAAAGCUAUAAGAAAGGCAGGAUCCUAAAAUUGGCAAUUACAGGAGUUUCUAGGUCGAUUCAUUCAUCACUGUUGCAUAGAGCUGCUGAUGUAGGAUGAAAAGGGAGAAGAGAGAAAGACCAGGUCUAAGAAGUGAAAAUUGAAUCAGAGUAGAUAGGGAGAUCAGAAUAUGAGGAUCAUAUUCAUGGAUAGUAAGGUCUGAAGAAGUUUGACCUCUUAAAACAACUAGAAGUCUAACUAAAAAAAUAAGAUUAUAUAAAACCUUAUCUCGAAGAUCUCUAUUUUAAUUCUGAAUAAUAGAUAAAAAUGAAUAAUAUCAAGUGAUAGAUGAUGUCCUAAUGAUCUGUAUCAGCUACACAUACAGUUUAGUCUUGUUGGAGCUAUCCCCUUUAGUACAGUGAGUAGAGAAAGUUUGUGGAAUAUGAAUACAACUGUAUGAAGUACAAGACAACAAAUAGUGAGAGAAUCUAGAAGCAGCACUAAUUCUGGAAGGAGAAAUGUACAUGGGUACUGGUGUUGUAUACGGGGAGGAAUUGGAUAACACUAGACCUUGGAUUCUAGUAUACAUGGAUAUAACACUGAAGACUGAGGAAAAUUUGGCACAUUAUCUUCCUCUGAUAAACGCACCUUGUUCAAUUUCUGUUCAUUCUCUCUCAGAACCUAUAACAAUUUGUCUGGUUCUAAUUUCUUUUUUCGUGUGAGGGCAGCACCAAUAACAUUAGUGCUGCUAAUUUGGCACAUUAUCUUCCUCCGGAGAGGGAUAUGUCUUGUUCUCUUUCUUUUCUUUCUCUCUCAGAAAGACCGAAUGAUAUGUCUCUUUAAUUUAUGCAGUCAUCUUUUUGAGCUUUUGGGCCGAAGUGCACUACAAUUCAAUCUAUCCGCAAGGAGAGUUUCCUGCUGGAGAGACCCGAAAAAGAAAAAAAUGGUGGUGGCUAGGCUGAGACUUGAGAAUAGCAUUCGCCAGCUUCUUUUGGAUGAUUAGAACUUAGAAGAGAGAUUCUUUCCUGGAACAGAGCACCUUAUCACGAGGAUUAGGGACACUGUGACAACACCUUCGGAUUGUAUAUAUUUUUUUUUUAUUCUUUCUCUUAGGUAAUGAUCGUGACGAGGAGGUGAUAGACGCAACCCAGGUUACAACCCAGGUCACAGGAUCAAACACUUGAGGUUGAGGCACUAGACAAGAUGCGUUGGUUGGGUUGUCCCAGGUUGGGUAGAUAGGCCGACGAACCUCCCCAGUAGGUUGUCCAGUUCUAUGGUUGAUCGACGCACGCCACUUCUCCUGGAGUUGCUAUAGAGAGGUAGGCUGUGCUGCUUAUGUAUAUAUGCAUUUUGUUUUGGGUAUGACGGGGUCCUGUCCCGAUCUUCUCUAAGUUAUGCUACUCCUAGAGGCUUGUAGGCUUGGGUCGUAUGUACAGCUAUUUUGCAUGGCCUUGCCGGCCAUCCUGUUGGUCAGUUGAUAUAUAUUGUGGCCUUGUCGACCUUACAUAUACGUAUAUGUUUAGGUGGUUCUUCUCUUACACUUUGUUAUGUACAUGUUGUCUUAUGGGUAUCAUUUUGAGGCCUUGUUGGCCCAGACGCUUGCAUGUC